GGAUAAUGACAACAAUGAAAAAGAUCAGAAACCUCUGGCCCUCAGGAAAUUCUUUGACAUAAUUCACAACCAUGCUAGGAAGGUGACUCUUUUAUGAAAGCUGCUAUGUGAAAGCAGAGAUGCCUCUUUAUCCCUUGGGCAAAAUCUGGAGUUUCUACUCACCCAAGAUGAUGCUGAGAACUACCAGGCUCAGAGCCCCACACAACAUCUGGCUCAGGGGAGCAAGAUGGCUGAAGAUCUUUUCCUGAAACUCAGUACAGGAAAUAGUGAACAGAGAAGUCAUGAGAAGGAAGAAAAGCAACUUCUUAAAAUGGAUGAUCCAGAUGGGUAAG